ACGAAAUCACGGUUCCGUCCCGUUCCGUGUACCGGUUCAAACUAUCCCGUCCCGUCCCGUAGGCAACCGAAACGGGAUGAACCGAAACGGUACCGGUACGUCCCGUUCCGUUGACCAAUCUUAAAUGGCACAAUGAACAAGUGACGCGUGUGAUCACGCUCCACAUGUCCCUUUGCUUCUUCUUCUCUUCCCUUUUCACUUUCAAUUUUCUCUGAUCCAUAGCCUAAAUUUUCUUCAAUUCUCCGUCACAUUCCCCUGCAAAUUGAAGAAUAUUUCAGGGUUUAGUGGGUAAUCAAGGUGAAGAAUUACUGAAGGCAGCUUAUAAAGGUUCAAACUUCACAGGAGGUUGUUUGGAAAUUCGUUUGUUCUACGUACGCAUAGUGUUCUGCGCGGUUGAGGUAGUUCCGGAUCACCUUAUACUUCGUCGCCUGCGCCGUGAAAUGGGUGUUUCGUUAGAGAUUAAUGGGUGUCGAAUUCCAGCAUCCGACACCGUUUCCAUCACGGAAGAAAGCAAGUUCUAAAUUUGACGUGAAUUUUCCUACUGAACCAAACAAUCCAAUCAACCUAAGUGAUUUCGAAGAAAAUACUGGAAGUUUCAUAUCACAGACUCCGAGUUGGAUGUUAUGAGUCAGAAGGAAAAGCUGGACAUGGCUUUUACUCAGAAGACAUGUACUAUGGUGAAGAUGGUCAACUCUCCUGGUUCAAUGCUGGAGUAAAGGUUGGAGUGGGGAUAGGCCUAGGGAUGUGUGUCGGUGUCGGAAUUGGGGUGGGGCUACUUAUGCGCUCUUAUCAAGCAACCACUACAAACCUGCGGAGGAGGUUCUUUUAAGCAUGAGAAUUUUUUUGUGAGUAAACUGUGGUCGUUAUUGACUUUGAUUUGAAGAUGAAAAUCAAGAUCGCUAAUGGUUGUUGUUGAUGUUCAGCAUCCAACAGUAACUAGGCAAUAGAGGAUGACAUAGUGGAGCCACUGAGGUGUGACAUAAUAUAAAUCUCUGGAGUGAAUAUUAGUUCUUGAUAUACUGAAGCUGCAAAAGACCCUCCAUCAAAGGCUUCUACCGGAAUGUUGACUGAUACUAAUGUGGAUAUAGCUGUAUUUAAAACCAUUGGGAACAAUGUGUUUAUAGGUAUAGUAACGUCUUGUGUUUGGCUAUGUUGCUCAAACUAUCGAAAAAUGUCGACGGGUGCGUGUCGAGUUUGCCAAAAAAUAGUGUAUUUUUGAAGAACCUGACAUGGGUACGGCACCAAAAGUGAAGUUUGACAACUAAGGUGUUGGGGAAGAUGAGCUGUAUUUAGAUGUAAGUUUUUUAUACAAUCAUCUUUUCGAGUAAAGUUUUUCUGGGUAGCUAGCGGGGGAUGCUGCUGACAUCUUUUUGGGUGUUGUUACUUUAUGUGAGUUUACAAUGGUCUUCAAUUUUGGUCAUGGCAACAAGCUGCCAUUGUGUAAUAAGUGUCGUUUGUAUAAUUCUGACUGAAGUGGAUACUGUACAAAUUACUAAUACAAUGAAUAGUUUAUUUUGUAAAUUCUUGAA